GUACGUUAUGGUCCUCAGAUGAUGGAACAUGUCAGUAUGCCACUCUGCUAAAGAGCUAUUGGCAGUUGAAGGCUGCUGGGAGAGAAGAGCCAUUUUCUCCAAGAAUGUUGCCCCUGCUGUCUUCUGAACUCUCCCAUCACGCAGCAGAAGCUCUCCAGUGUGCAUCACAGCCACCCUCUGGUGAGCAUGCGCGAGGCCAGCUUUCCUUUUCAGAAGGCAGUGCCUGUCUGGAGAGGUCCCUCUUCACCUGUCCCAGUAGAUGGCAUUCAGAGAGAGGGAAGGAACAAGGGCUAUUGCCAGGAAUAGAGCAAAGACGAAGGCACCCAAUGUAGGGCACCCCUGGAGCCUACAAACGUGCUGUGUACCAGAAAGAAUCAGCCUCCCACCAGCAGUCAUGGUGACAGUCAGGACCUGCCUGGGAAGUCAUCCAGGACCCAAGAAGCAGCAUUGGACUUAGCACAGAACAAAAAAUAAUAAUUGCUUUUUGCUUGUACUGUAUUGGGUCCAACUCAGUUAAUAAAGCAGAGACUCAGUAAUAAG
rnacentral:lncRNA from 1 species